AUCCCUCACUUUCAAGUCAUAUCUUCUUGCAUCUCUCUGAUCCAUGCUGCCCUCAGUGAAGAAAUUUGGUGGAGGAAAUAUCUUCCCCACGUGCAGACCCGAGAAUGUAAGCCGUGCGCCUGGAACAAAAUAUUCUGCCACAGUCAAAAAUCACUAUUUUAAAAAGUGAUGUGCUGUUUGGAAAUAAUACGACAACCCUGAGGAGGUUUGGCAGUUCAGAGCAGUGUGCCUGUGUGGAAGGAAAGAGACUCAACAGCAGCAGUCCCUGUGGUUCCAGAGGCGGUUCCGUCCAGUCACAGGGGACCCACCUAUAAUUCUAGCACUGAAGGAGGGAGCCAGACCGAGGGAGCAGGGCCCAGGCAGGAAGACUUAGGAUUCCAGGCCAGCCUUGGCUACACAGUGAGACCUUGCCUCCAAAACAAACAAAUACAAGAUAACUGUAGCAAGUCCUUGUAAGGGCUAUAAAUUAGUGGUUCCUUUAAAGGCCACUUAAUUGCCACUUAGAAGGGCUUUUUACUGUGUGAGCCAUCUACUUCACAAAACAGAACUCUAUUAAGGUUUCUCAGAACGGCCAGGUCUAUAAGCAGGCAGUUUGUUGAGCAGGUUUGAAAGAGAUUCCUUCCCACCUUCCAUUCACCAGUCCUCCAAAAUUCCAGAUAAGCCUAUUUUUUACUCAGAGGGCAAAGUUGGCCUCUCGGCUUAUGUGCGUUCCCUGCACAAAGGAUAUGUUUUCAGCAAGCAGGACCACAUUCCUACCAAGCAAAAAUAUUCCCCCAUAAGCUGAUUGUCCCAGACCUACCAAGCCUUUCUCAAUGAAGCUCUGUUCUGCUGCCUGCAAAUGUGUGGCCUGUGUUCUCAGACAGUGGCUUGGGACAGGUGCAUGUCUUUGGAGAGGUUGGAGAGGGACCCUGAGCCAGCCUUUGCGACCACAGAGGCACUUCAUCUAAAGCUACUAGCUUUCUCUACAUUGGAAAAGCAAAUUCUCCAACAAGACCUCCUUCAAUAUCCUUCCCCGUAUAAAUUCACCCUUCUGCAAUCUUCUCACUGUCAAAAAUAGUUGAAAAUUCUACUAU
rnacentral:lncRNA from 1 species